rnacentral:lncRNA from 1 species
GUUCGUCUGACAUUCGCUCACUACAUAUAGCAUCUUUUAUACAAUGGUAGAGGUUCUCAGCACCAGCAUCUAUGCAUAACUUCUCAAAUGCAUUGGGGUCCAUUUCUGGUUGAGUCAUGUUAGAAACGAAUGAUCUGAUUUUGAGAAGAUCAUUCUGGAAAUUUGAGCAAAAGGAAGCUUUCUUUAGCAGUGACUCGUACUCAUCAUUUGAAAGAUAAAUACCAUUUGUUGUCUGACACUCUUUUUCUGCCACAGUGCUAGUAGUGCCAGAGAUGUCUUGACUUUCGUCCCAAUGGCCAACUGUUUGCUCUGGAGAACUCAAAGUUAUUGUGGUGGCAUUACUUGAUUGAGUAUUAGUUAGCUGUUCUAGUUGAUCUGAUGAUACAGGUGAACUCAUUGUAACUGUUGAAGUCUCGUCUACUGGGUUUUCAUCUUCCUCAGCAUCUAAGACUACUUCAGGUGUUUGGUUUGCUACUAUGUCUCCAGUGGAAUUUUCCAAUAUCUGCAGCUAUGGCAAAUAUGGAUUAAUUACAAUCAAUGACAGAAAGAGGAUGACAACCAGGUAAUUUACUCAUUCAAUCACAUUUUAUAUUGAUUUGAACCAUUAGGCCUAAAAAAGAAAUACCUGUGGUUCCGGUUUCAUAUCGUGAAAAAAUUAGAGUCGGUAGGUCGGAAAUAAUUUUUUUUUUUGAAUAUUUUUUCAUGGUUUUGCUGGUUUUUUGCUGGGCGAUUUGCAGUAGAGUCCCAACAUCAAAUAUCAUCAUUAUUAACUAGAGGUUGCAGCCCGCAACCACCUGGAGAAAAUAGGGUCGCACGGUCAAUCGCGUUGAAAAAAUAAUAGAGUCGGCAGGAAAAAAAAUAGGGUCGGUCGGGAACCGGAACCACAGGUAUUUUUUUUACGCCUUAACUGGAUGAUACGCUAAUGGGUAGUACUUUUUUACUAACAGGUAAAAUUGUUUGGCCAGUGUAGGACAGGAUAAGUAGUCAUAUCUGGGCACAUGUAUUACAUGUAAGUAGGCUUAUCUACUAGGCACAUAUCAAGUAAAGGGGUUAAUCUAUUAAGUGGUGUUAUGUGUCCUGAUUGAUACAUUUGGUUUUAGCUCCCCAAUUUUACUUGUAUGUAUCGGAGGAGUGCCAAUAUUAUCUAUUAGUCGAAAUUUAGUAUUGGCACAUAUGGGUGACAAUCUGAGAAUUUCAAGGCUGUGUGACAAACUGAACACAAUUUAUGCACCUGUAAAAAUACUACAAAAAUAUCUCCUGAAUAAAUCUUUAGAUGUCUCCAUUGAAAUGGUAUCAGCACCCAACGCUCCUUACAGGGCGGCCGCCAAGAGGGGGGACAGGGGGGGGAAUUGCCCCAGGCCCCCAGCUUACACAGUAAUAGGGCCCCAACUUGACAGCAAAAGCCUAAAAUUGAGUAGGUUCUUUAAUUUGGUCAGCACAUUUUUGCAGUCUACAGUAGCUAAGGUCUAUAGUUGGGUGACUGACUUGGGUUCAGAUUAAAAAUAAUGAUGUCAUGGGCCCCGGAGAAGAUUUUCUCCGGGCAAUGCGAAUUCUCUCAGCGGCCCUGGUUCCUUAAUUAACCCCCUCCAAUCAAUUCAAUGCACACUCACCAUCCUCUAUCAAGAACCAGCCCACAUUUGGUUGGAUUAGGUUUGCAUACUUUAAUUGUAUCAUACUUGAACAAAAUUGUUUAAUUCUAUAGAGAAAUAAAACCGAGUACUUUCUUUACACCCCCCCCCUCCCUUCAAUGGUGUCACAAAAGGCCCUCAGGAGGGUUAGUGGAGAGAUUGCAUUUUUUCCCACCACCACCUAUAGUCCCCUCUUGAGGCAUGUUGUGUCUUCAAUCUCAAACUGUAAGUUACCAGCUAAGAAUAUGGUCAAACACACUACUGGCCUUGUUCUCCUAGCUUACCUGCCUCUGUACUUUAUCUUUUAGCUGAUCAUUCUGGCCCUUUGGAAGCAGCUUAGUGAAUCUACGCUUAUUAAAACAUUCAUGAAGACAUGUUGUACAAAGGUUUUUUAUGCCAUGGGCCGAUUUUUUACCCGUUUCCUCUUCGACGUACUGCUCGAAAACAGUUGUUAUCGUGACCAAACCACGACCUCGGAGAUUAACAAUCUUUUUCCCUUCAUCUUUUGACCAGUUUUCAUGAAAGGGGUUGUUGCACGACCUUUGAAAUUUAGGCAUGUUCGUAAUUUUACAGUAAUACUACCAGUUUUAAUUUGAGAAGGAAAAAAAGAACACUUUUUUGCGAAAAAGGCGCGAAUUUUCCCGCCAUAAACGAUGUAAAAUUAUGUUCGAUUUGUAUAUAGAAAUCUAUUUGUAAAAAUCCCGUGUGAAAUUUUCACGCAAAACUGUAUUUAACUUAAACGUAUCUACCGUUGCAUCCUUUGACAACAUUUAUAUGUGUAAUUGCUACAAACACGUCUUAUUAAGUACAGAUAAUCGGUUCUAUUCGGUAUAUUUCAUGCUUCGGCCAAGCUAGUCAAGCUAGUUUAAGUGCGUAAAAACAGG